CCUACGGGAGGCAGCAGUGGGGAAUAUUGCGCAAUGGGCGAAAGCCUGACGCAGCGACGCCGCGUGAGGGAUGAAGGUCUUCUGGUCGGAAACCUCUGUCAGCAGGGAAGUACGGUCACUGUGCUAAUCAGCAUUGCAUUGACGGUACCUGCAAGGGACGCACCGGCUAACGCCGGGCCAGCAGCCGCGGUAAUACGGAGGGUGCGAGCGUUAAUCGGAAUGACUGGGCGUAAAGCGCUCGUAGGCGGUAUGUCAAGUCAAGGGUGAAAUCCCCGCGCUCAACGUGGGAAUUGCCGUUGAAACUGGCAAACUGGAGUGUGUGAGAGGAUAGUGGAAUUCCAGGUGUAGGAGUGAAAUGCGUAGAUAUCUGGAGGAACAUCAGUGGCGAAGGCGACUAUCUGGCACAUAACUGACGCUGAGGAGCGAAAGCGUGGGUAGCAAACAGGAUUAGAUACCCGUGUAGUC
rnacentral:rRNA from 1 species